CCAGGUCUCAAUCCAAUGGAGCAUCUGUGGGAUGUGCUGGACAAACAGGUCCGACCCAUGGAGGCCCCACAUCGCAACUUACAGAACUUAAAGGAUCUGCUGCUAAUGAGCUUGGUGCCAGAUACCACAGCACACCUUCAGAGGUGUAGUGGAGUCCAUGCCUUCACAGGCUCUGGUUUGUGACUCAGAUGCUGAGGGAAACACACAGACUCGGGGAGGCAGUUGAAGUGUUUAUUCACACAACCGGAAUCAAACAGAGGGAUUGUUCAGGGUUGAGUGGUUCCAGGAGGCGAGCGGCGAGGAGAGUUGAAUGGCGAAGUGAGCAGGCAGCAGGCGAGCAGGCAGCAAUUGAAGCUGUGUGGCAAGGUGAGCAGGCAGCAGGUGAACAGGCAGCAAUGUCAGAGCGGAAUCUGGACAGAGAAGAUGCUGUUUAACAAGGGCACACUGAAAUUGUCUAGAACGCAUAGGGACUAGGAUGUCUGAGGGUUUGCAGAACCAAGUUACCACAGGUAAUGUUGUAACGGAGUGGCGCUGAAGAGGUGAACAGCCCAGGUUGAUAUCUGCUGGUU
ensembl:lncRNA